rnacentral:rRNA from 1 species
UACGGAGGUGGCGAGCGUUGUCCGGAUUUACUGGGUGUAAAGGGCGUGUAGGCGGGGAAACAAGUCAGAUGUGAAAUCCCGGGGCUUAACUCCGGAGCUGCAUCUGAAACUGUUUUUCUUGAGUGCUGGAGAGGAAAGUGGAAUUCCCAGUGUAGCGGUGAAAUGCGUAGAGAUUGGGAGGAACACCAGUGGCAAAGGCGGCUUUCUGGACAGUAACUAACGAUGAGGCGCGAAAGCGUGGGGAGCAAACAGG